AGGACAGCCAGAGAAAUGCUGACUCCUUCAUCAGGUACUGGGCAUUGAACCCAGGAUUACACAUAAGCUAGGCGAGCACUCUACUACUGAGCUGCAUCCCCAGCCCUGCUAUAAAGUUCGGAUACCUACCCAUGUGGAGCAAUUACAGUCAUGAAAUCCAUCCGGCAAGGAGGAAAGGAUCAGUGGCAAAUGUGCAAAUGCUGUUUAAGCUCCAUGUUCAGCACCCCCUCUUUCAACCUAUCAACUCAUCAGACAACCAAUCAACAAAGGAGUCCAUGAUCACCUCAACUUAACUGAGUGCAGACCAUGUGGGGAGCUGACAAAGUCCUGACUGGGAAUGAAUUCUUGACAAGGACCAGUGUCUCAGACUCUUGGGAACCGGCAAAGCUUCCCUCCAGGGGAGGCUUAGAAGCUUGGUGGGCAAAGCCUUCUGGUACAACUAUAGGUGUUUUCAAAGGAUUGCUCAGUGUGUGCAAAAACUAGACACUACCUCUUCCUCCUGAAGGAUGAUGGACUUAAGACUGCUCCACUACAGAGACCUCCUACUGAGACCAGCUAUCUGCCUUCUGGUGCUGUGUGUAAUAAAGAUGCUGAGGUUCCAAGUUGGUGCCUAGUCAGUAUUACUUCAUAAGACCAAGCAUGGCCCAUGUGACCC
rnacentral:lncRNA from 1 species